rnacentral:lncRNA from 1 species
CUCUUCCUUCCACGUCUCCGGUGGAAACGAUAAUAUCCUCCUCCUCCGUAAGGCGGCGAUUGCGUCAGGGCGGAGGACGGCGUCCGGUGCGAGGACCCCGGUCCUGGUCUCCCCCAAAGCCGUUUCCGACUCGCGGAGCUCGCAGACUUGCCUCGAUCCUGAUGCAAGCCGGGUGAGUUUGCGUGGGACGCACAUUUGCCUCACAUGCCCACAAGGUUUCUUUAGAAAGAUUUUGUCAUCGGAAGCGAUCUUGGAAUGGUUCUCGGUGAAUUGCUUGAUGUGGUUGAUUGCUUGAUGUGGUUGAUUGCUUGUUUCUGUGGCAAAAUUAAGCUACCAAAAAAAUUUUUUUUUUUUCUUCUCUUCUCUUUGUCCGCCGCUAGGUUCGUAGAAGAGUUGUCGGGUCUACAUACUUGGGUUACAUCAAGGUCGAUGAUUGUUCUCGAAUGUUGUUAUCAACCAUUUCGUAGAUCCACAUUAUAUCCUUUCUUGUCUUUUAAGACGACCCUUUUUUAGCUUUUUUUUUUCUCUUUCUUCCCAAAUAUUGACUGGAUCGAGCUUUUAGAUUUUUAAUCGAGUUAGAAAAUAAAAAGGAGAAACGAUCGGUGAUUUGGUGAAGAUUUGUUCAUCAUUUAGAAACGAAAAGGACGCAAUUACCUGAAGUACAUGUUCAUAAGAAAUUUAUCAGGUUUCUGCCUAGGAAAGCAAAUCGGCCAAGGCACGAAUCGAUUCCAUCGGUUAAAAGUUCUACAACUUAUGGAAACCCAAUUUAUGAUUCUCUCAGAUCUUAUGUACCUUCUUCAAGAUAUGCAGGAGAUAUUGACUACUAGCAUAAGACGAUUGGAGGGUUGCCUAUUUUCUACAAGUUGCUAAUCGAACACAUUGCAAAUAGGAUCGAUCAUAUAUUUCACAAGCCAAAAGCGAAUUCUAUGUUUCAGAAGAAACUUACCUGCGAUAGUGUAUUUGACUAUUAUUUAUGUUGGUUUUCUUGAAAUAUUUGGAAGUACAUGCAGAUUAUUCUCAUCUUUAAAAAUGUAGCUUCAAACUUAGCCUGGAGCACAGGUGGUUGAUGGUUUUAUUUAUAUGAUUCAACAUGAUCACCUCAUGCACAUCUUUGUGGAUGGUUAUUUUCUAGAAUUUGUUUGUUUUUUUGUGUGUUUUCUUAAUUGUCAUGUGAAUAUUUAAGAUAAUUAAGUUUUGAAAUGGUGAAUUUUUGUUUUCUCUCCGCAGAGUGUUUUGGGUAUUAUACUUGGGGGAGGAGCCGGGACGAGGUUGUAUCCUUUAACAAAGAAGAGGGCUAAACCUGCAGUACCACUUGGAGCCAACUACAGGCUAAUCGACAUUCCUGUCAGCAAUUGCUUGAACAGUAAUAUUUUAAAGAUCUACGUUCUGACACAAUUCAAUUCUGCGUCUCUG